AUUGAACGCUGGCGGCAUGCUUUACACAUGCAAGUCGAACGGUAACAGGCCGCAAGGUGCUGACGAGUGGCGAACGGGUGAGUAAUGCAUCGGAACGUGCCCAGUCGUGGGGGAUAACUACUCGAAAGAGUAGCUAAUACCUCAUACGAUCUAUGGAUGAAAGCGGGGACGGUAAGGCCUCGCGCGAUUUGAGCGGCCGAUGUCAGAUUAGGUAGUUGGUGGGGUAAAGGCUCACCAAGCCAACGAUCUGUAGCUGGUCUGAGAGGACGACCAGCCACACUGGGACUGAGACACGGCCCAGACUCCUACGGGAGGCAGCAGUGGGGAAUUUUGGACAAUGGGCGCAAGCCUGAUCCAGCAAUGCCGCGUGAAGGAAGAAGGCCUUCGGGUUGUAAACUGCUUUUGUACGGAACGAAACGGCUCUGGUUAAUACCCGGGGGUAAUGACGGUACCGUAAGAAUAAGCACCGGCUAACUACGUG
rnacentral:rRNA from 1 species